CCGGCGCCUGGCAAAACCUCUGAGGGAAAAGGCAAGCAACAACUGCGCUUCUUCUGCCCUUUCUUUAGCCAGGGACUGGAACACGGACAAAAUCGAGGGGCUCUUUGACCUGGGCAGGCUCCGAGCAUUUUUCAGCCUUCCUUCGCAGGGCAUUCUCACCCUCUGAAAAGCUGAAAGGCUUUAACAGCUGGAGACGCGCCUGCAGCUGUGCAGAUUAAUGUAGUUUCUUUUAGGAAACGAAGGGGAAGUUUUCCUGUUGUGAGCCUAAAUACCGAGUCUACUCUGCUUUUUCAAUCAGGUGACGAAGCUUAUGGAAAAAAAGACCAAAGGCCUCGAGGGAUGUUCUUCUUGAUCCCCCGGGGCAAACGGAGGUGUCAGCGUCAGGAGCCAUCCUAACUGAGGCCCUGGUAGGCUCCCUGUUUCCCUUCGGUCGCCGUGGACACUGUGCUGGACGCCUCUGGCAGGACUAACCCCGUGGCUUUUAUGUCCAGCGUGCUGUGCUGUGUGUGCCUGCAGGUGGUUGGUGUUUCUGCAGUGUUUGGCACAGGACUGGGGGAGAUUUUUACCCAGCUUUCUAAAGCUGUAGAUGAAUAGGAGAGACUGAAUGCACUCCCUUUAUUCACCUUUUCAGAGAGUAUCGUCCAGAAUACGAGCGCCUGAGAAAAACACUGGACAGUUCUCUGCAGGCACAGCUACACAGAGUUUGGCUUCCCGGCGCUGCUGAAAACGUCCUAGAAUCCCACCUGACUGGAGGUUGCUUUCCACGCUUAGUCAGAAGUUCUGUGUAACCUGAGUUGAAAUAAUCCACAUGUAAAUCUUUGUCUACGGGAGAAAGCUCAAAAUAAACAAAAGAGAGAGCAGCUGGAACACUUGUGGAAGGACAUGGGCAGCGUGUGUGUGCAGGGCAGCACACUGGCAGGACCUGAUGCUUCUGCAAUGGGUCCCUCUGAGCUAAUACUAACACGAGGAACUCUGGAUGAAGAGCAAGAAGAGAGGGAGAGUGAUGCUGAUGGCAUUGACCAUGAAGGUAAGGGAAUGAGGUCUAAAAGCUGCCUCUCAAGAAAUCCCCUCUAUAUUUCAUGUCCUGGAUGGACUGUAAGGAGAGCCUAGAAAACAAGCAAACAUUCAGUCACCUGACGUGUCAGAAUCUGUAGCAGAAGCUCAGCUGCAAUGGUCAGUGCAGGGAUAUCACUCUGUAACCUUUGUGAAAGUUCAAUUGUAAAUUUUCUAUUCAAGUAAUUAAUAGGUGUAUAACACACAUAAACCAGAGAACUCGUUAGGCUUGGGGCAUGCAGUGACCUCUGAACCUGAUUGAUGCACAGAUGUGUCCAUCAUCUUUUUGGCCUUACAGUUUCUGCCCCUGGCUCUCUUCCCUUUUUCUGUGACUGUGGUCUUGGAGCAAUCUUCUAAGUUGUUACAGUGUGAUUUUUCUCUUCUAUGGCUCACAGACUUAAUCUUCAUUCUUUCCCUGUUCCACUGAUGGGUAGGAUCACUUAUUUCCUUUGCCCUGUAAUGUAGCUGAAGAUGGAAUAGACUUUCUAUGUUGCUUUGGCUA